AGCAGCCGCGGUAAUUCCAGCUCCAAUAGCGUAUAUUAAAGUUGUUGCAGUUAAAAAGCUCGUAGUUGAAUUUCGGGGUUAGCAGGUCGGUCGUGCCAUUGGUAUGAACUGGUCUCGCUGAUCCCUCCCUCUUGACGAACUGUGAUGCCAUUAAUUUGGUGUCGCAGGGAAUCAGGACUGUUACUUUGAAAAAAUUAGAGUGUUUAAAGCAGGCUUACGCUUGAAUACAUUAGCAUGGAAUAAUGAAAUAGGACGUUUGAUCCUAUUUUGUUGGCUUCUAGGAUUGACGUAAUGAUUAAUAGGGAUAGUUGGGGGCAUUAGUAUUCAAUUGUCAGAGGUGAAAUUCUUGGAUUUAUUGAAGACUAACUACUGCGAAAGCAUUUGCCAAGGAUGUUUUCAUUAAUCAAGAACGAAAGUUAGGGGAUCGAAGACGAUCAGAUACCGUCGUAGUCUUAACCAUAAACUAUGCCGACUAGGGAUCGGAUGAUGUUAAUUUUUUAAUGACUCAUUCGGCGCCUUA
rnacentral:misc_RNA from 1 species